CCCGUCUCAGGGUCAUACCUGGAGAGUUUCCAUUACUCUCCCAGCCUUGGCUAUGGGAGGGAGAGUCAAGCAGAGGCCGGUCCAUUCUAUUCCUAGCUUGGGCAGUGGCUAGUGAGUGGAAGGCAAUCUGCUACAAGC